AGUUUUGCAGGUUUGCAUCCCAGCGUGCCUCCAGUGCUGUGCAAAUCCAUGCAAAACUGA
rnacentral:pre_miRNA from 1 species